rnacentral:rRNA from 1 species
AGAGUUUNGAUCCUGGCUCAGGAUGAANCGCUAGCGGCAGGCCUAACACAUGCAAGUCGAGGGGCAGCACAAAUAAAGCUUGCUUUAUUGGUGGCGANCCGGCGCACNGGGUGAGUAACGCGUAUGCAACCUACCUUAUACUGGAAGAUAGCCCGAAGAAAUUCGGAUUAAUACUCCAUAGUAUUAUAGAUAAGCAUUUAUUUAUAAUUAAAGCUCAGGCGGUAUAAGAUGGGCAUGCGUCCUAUUAGCUAGAUGGUAAGGUAACGGCUUACCAUGGCUUCGAUAGGUAGGGGGUCUGAGAGGAUGGUCCCCCACACUGGUACUGAGACACGGACCAGACUCCUACGGGAGGCAGCAGUGAGGAAUAUUGGUCAAUGGGCGCAAGCCUGAACCAGCCAUGCCGCGUGAAGGAUGAAGGUUCUAUGGAUUGUAAACUUCUUUUAUUUGGGAAUAAACCUCUUUACGUGUAAAGAGCUGAAGGUACCAAACGAAUAAGCACCGGCUAACUCCGUGCCAGCAGCCGCGGUAAUACGGAGGGUGCAAGCGUUAUCCGGAAUCAUUGGGUUUAAAGGGUCCGCAGGCGGACUUAUAAGUCAGUGGUGAAAUCUCACAGCUCAACUGUGAAACUGCCAUUGAUACUGUAAGUCUUGAAUUCGGUCGAAGUGGGCGGAAUAUGACAUGUAGCGGUGAAAUGCUUAGAUAUGUCCUAGAACACCGAUAGCGAAGGCAGCUCACUAGGCCUGGAUUGACGCUCAGGGACGAAAGGCGUGGGGAGCAAACCAGGAUUAGAUACCCCUGGUAGUCCACGCCGUAAACUAUCAAUACUCGAUAUUGGCGAUAUACCAGUCCAGUGUCUAAGCGAAAGUGAUAAGUAUGCACCUGGAGGGUGA